UACGUAGGUGGCAAGCGUUGUUCGGAAUUACUGGGCGUAAAGCGCGUGUAGGCGGCUCUUCAAGUCAGACGUGAAAGCCCCGGGCUUAACUCGGGAACUGCGUUUGAUACUGUCGAGCUAGAGUGUGGAAGGGGCGAUUGGAAUUCCGUGUGUAGCGGUGAAAUGCGUAGAUAUACGGAGGAACACCGAUGGCGAAGGCAGCCCCCUGGGUCAAGACUGACGCUCAUGCACGAAAGCGUGGGGAGCAAACAGG
rnacentral:rRNA from 1 species